UACGUAGGUGGCAAGCGUUGUCCGGAAUUAUUGGCGUAAAGCGCGCGCAGGCGGUUCUUUAAGUCUGAUGGUGAAAGCCCACGGCUCAACCGUGGAGGUCAUUGGGAAACUGGAGAAUCUUGAGUACAGAAGAGGAAAGCGGAAUUCCACGGUGUAGCGGUGAAAUGCGGUAGAGAAUGUGGAGGAACACCAGUGGCGAAAGGCGGCUUUCUGGUCGUGUAACGUGACGCUGAGGCGCCGAAAAGCGUGGGGAGCAAACAGG
rnacentral:rRNA from 1 species